UUAAGCGACUAAGCGUACACGGUGGAUGCCCUGGCAGUCAGAGGCGAUGAAGGACGUGCUAAUCUGCGAUAAGCGUCGGUAAGGUGAUAUGAACCGUUAUAACCGGCGAUUUCCGAAUGGGGAAACCCAGUGUGUUUCGACACACUAUCAUUAACUGAAUCCAUAGGUUAAUGAGGCGAACCGGGGGAACUGAAACAUCUAAGUACCCCGAGGAAAAGAAAUCAACCGAGAUUCCCCCAGUAGCGGCGAGCGAACGGGGAGCAGCCCAGAGCCUGAAUCAGUGUGUGUGUUAGUGGAAGCGUCUGGAAAGGCGCGCGAUACAGGGUGACAGCCCCGUACACAAAAAUGCACAUGCUGUGAGCUCGAUGAGUAGGGCGGGACACGUGGUAUCCUGUCUGAAUAUGGGGGGACCAUCCUCCAAGGCUAAAUACUCCUGACUGACCGAUAGUGAACCAGUACCGUGAGGGAAAGGCGAAAAGAACCCCGGCGAGGGGAGUGAAAAAGAACCUGAAACCGUGUACGUACAAGCAGUGGGAGCACGCUUAGGCGUGUGACUGCGUACCUUUUGUAUAAUGGGUCAGCGACUUAUAUUCUGUAGCAAGGUUAACCGAAUAGGGGAGCCGAAGGGAAACCGAGUCUUAACUGGGCGUUAAGUUGCAGGGUAUAGACCCGAAACCCGGUGAUCUAGCCAUGGGCAGGUUGAAGGUUGGGUAACACUAACUGGAGGACCGAACCGACUAAUGUUGAAAAAUUAGCGGAUGACUUGUGGCUGGGGGUGAAAGGCCAAUCAAACCGGGAGAUAGCUGGUUCUCCCCGAAAGCUAUUUAGGUAGCGCCUCGUGAAUUCAUCUCCGGGGGUAGAGCACUGUUUCGGCAAGGGGGUCAUCCCGACUUACCAACCCGAUGCAAACUGCGAAUACCGGAGAAUGUUAUCACGGGAGACACACGGCGGGUGCUAACGUCCGUCGUGAAGAGGGAAACAACCCAGACCGCCAGCUAAGGUCCCAAAGUCAUGGUUAAGUGGGAAACGAUGUGGGAAGGCCCAGACAGCCAGGAUGUUGGCUUAGAAGCAGCCAUCAUUUAAAGAAAGCGUAAUAGCUCACUGGUCGAGUCGGCCUGCGCGGAAGAUGUAACGGGGCUAAACCAUGCACCGAAGCUGCGGCAGCGACGCUUAUGCGUUGUUGGGUAGGGGAGCGUUCUGUAAGCCUGCGAAGGUGUGCUGUGAGGCAUGCUGGAGGUAUCAGAAGUGCGAAUGCUGACAUAAGUAACGAUAAAGCGGGUGAAAAGCCCGCUCGCCGGAAGACCAAGGGUUCCUGUCCAACGUUAAUCGGGGCAGGGUGAGUCGACCCCUAAGGCGAGGCCGAAAGGCGUAGUCGAUGGGAAACAGGUUAAUAUUCCUGUACUUGGUGUUACUGCGAAGGGGGGACGGAGAAGGCUAUGUUGGCCGGGCGACGGUUGUCCCGGUUUAAGCGUGUAGGCUGGUUUUCCAGGCAAAUCCGGAAAAUCAAGGCUGAGGCGUGAUGACGAGGCACUACGGUGCUGAAGCAACAAAUGCCCUGCUUCCAGGAAAAGCCUCUAAGCAUCAGGUAACAUCAAAUCGUACCCCAAACCGACACAGGUGGUCAGGUAGAGAAUACCAAGGCGCUUGAGAGAACUCGGGUGAAGGAACUAGGCAAAAUGGUGCCGUAACUUCGGGAGAAGGCACGCUGAUAUGUAGGUGAAGUCCCUCGCGGAUGGAGCUGAAAUCAGUCGAAGAUACCAGCUGGCUGCAACUGUUUAUUAAAAACACAGCACUGUGCAAACACGAAAGUGGACGUAUACGGUGUGACGCCUGCCCGGUGCCGGAAGGUUAAUUGAUGGGGUUAGCGCAAGCGAAGCUCUUGAUCGAAGCCCCGGUAAACGGCGGCCGUAACUAUAACGGUCCUAAGGUAGCGAAAUUCCUUGUCGGGUAAGUUCCGACCUGCACGAAUGGCGUAAUGAUGGCCAGGCUGUCUCCACCCGAGACUCAGUGAAAUUGAACUCGCUGUGAAGAUGCAGUGUACCCGCGGCAAGACGGAAAGACCCCGUGAACCUUUACUAUAGCUUGACACUGAACAUUGAGCCUUGAUGUGUAGGAUAGGUGGGAGGCUUUGAAGUGUGGACGCCAGUCUGCAUGGAGCCGACCUUGAAAUACCACCCUUUAAUGUUUGAUGUUCUAACGUGGACCCGUAAUCCGGGUUGCGGACAGUGUCUGGUGGGUAGUUUGACUGGGGCGGUCUCCUCCUAAAGAGUAACGGAGGAGCACGAAGGUUGGCUAAUCCUGGUCGGACAUCAGGAGGUUAGUGCAAUGGCAUAAGCCAGCUUGACUGCGAGCGUGACGGCGCGAGCAGGUGCGAAAGCAGGUCAUAGUGAUCCGGUGGUUCUGAAUGGAAGGGCCAUCGCUCAACGGAUAAAAGGUACUCCGGGGAUAACAGGCUGAUACCGCCCAAGAGUUCAUAUCGACGGCGGUGUUUGGCACCUCGAUGUCGGCUCAUCACAUCCUGGGGCUGAAGUAGGUCCCAAGGGUAUGGCUGUUCGCCAUUUAAAGUGGUACGCGAGCUGGGUUUAGAACGUCGUGAGACAGUUCGGUCCCUAUCUGCCGUGGGCGCUGGAGAACUGAGGGGGGCUGCUCCUAGUACGAGAGGACCGGAGUGGACGCAUCACUGGUGUUCGGGUUGUCAUGCCAAUGGCACUGCCCGGUAGCUAAAUGCGGAAGAGAUAAGUGCUGAAAGCAUCUAAGCACGAAACUUGCCCCGAGAUGAGUUCUCCCUGACUCCUUGAGAGUCCUGAAGGAACGUUGAAGACGACGACGUUGAUAGGCCGGGUGUGUAAGCGCAGCGAUGCGUUGAGCUAACCGGUACUAAUGAACCGUGAGGCUUAACCUU
rnacentral:rRNA from 2 species